rnacentral:rRNA from 1 species
UACGUAGGGUGCGAGCGUUGUCCGGAAUUACUGGGCGUAAAGAGCUCGUAGGUGGUUUGUCGCGUUGUUCGUGAAAACCGGGGGCUUAACCCUCGGCGUGCGGGCGAUACGGGCAGACUUGAGUACUGCAGGGGAGACUGGAAUUCCUGGUGUAGCGGUAGAAUGCGCAGAUAUCAGGAGGAACACCGGUGGCGAAGGCGGGUCUCUGGGCAGUAACUGACGCUGAGGAGCGAAAGCGUGGGGAGCGAACAGG